AUGAGGGUAGGACUCCGAAGUCUGAAAAGCACUUCCGCUUCAACCAGAGUCACCUACAACAAUAGGUGCUCCAAUGCAUAUUCGACUUGUUGUGCUACAAAGCCAGAAGUGCUACCAGUGGAAACACCCUCAUCGGAUAUGCUUGUUGAUUCCUUCGGGAGAUUCCACAACUACUUGAGGAUCUCCUUGACUGAGCACUGUAACCUGAGAUGUCAAUACUGCAUGCUUGCCGAAGGAGUCGAGCUCACACCAAAGUCAGAGCUUCUGUCGCAUGAUGAGAUAAUCCGAGUUGCCAAUCUUUUUGUUACUUCUGGUGUGGACAAGAUCAGGUUAACUGGUGGAGAACCAACCGUUAGAGAAGACCUUGAAGAUAUUUGCUUUGCAUCUUUCUGGCCUCAAGGGGCUGAAAACUCUUGCGAUGACCACAAGUGGGAUCGUUCUUUCCAAGAAGCUCCCGAGAGUGAAAGAAUGUGGUCUUAA
rnacentral:rRNA from 1 species